rnacentral:rRNA from 1 species
GCCGGGGACAAGCUUCUUUAUGAGUGUUGGCGAGACAUUGGACAAGACCCCAAGACGGGCGCCGAGCAAAAGCAUUCAACCUUUUGGAUUCGUGUCCACCAAGAGUGUCAUGAGCGCAAGAAGUAUCCGCCGUACCAAUUUGUGAGCACGCGCGGGUGGGUCUCCAGUUCCAAGAGGUGGAGGGUGAUCCAACAAGAGUGCAACAAGUUUUGCGCCACUCUUGAGAGCGUCAAAGCCCGCCCGUGA